AAGAAUGAAAUAGGUUGUACUUUCUUAAUUUUAUUUUCUUUGCCCCCUAGUAAAAAUGAAUCAUUUAGAAGUAAAUAGCACAACAAACAUGAAAUUAUGUCUCUCAGGAAUAUUAUUAUGGUUCUUUUAUUUGUGAUAUUGUUUUGGGUUAUUCGAUUUGAUUGGGGGAGAUUAACGCAAUUUUAAUAAUUCUGCCUAAUCUCCUUAAAUAUAAUGAGAUUAUAGUUCAUCAGUCUUUAAGUAAUUCUUUUGUGCAGCUCUCAUGAAGGUGCAACAGCAGGCUAAAAGGAUCUCUUCUGCAGCCUACUCUUUUGUUCGAUGACAGUAAUGGGUGAAAAAAUAGUGCUCUGUACUUCUGCCAAAUUGCUAGCUAGUUAAACUAAUGGGCUACAGAGAGUGAAAAGAUGACCUUGCAUCACACAGGAUGACCUGACUUUUUGUCACGGCUAUAUAGACCACCACACUCUCGUCUGAGACACAGCGGAUUGAUCACACGCUCAGCUCUUCAUUAUACACAUGCCGCAAAGCUCCAUCCACCAGUAAAUACAUAAUGAUGCUCUUUGUCUGGCAGGUAGACCAAAGCCUUGACUCUCAAUAAGCUGGUUAGAGAGCGGCCAGAGCACUGAAUCAUUCCAAUUUAGGGAUGUGGUACUUUUAAUCUUCCGAUAUCCUUUUUGCCUCUGGAGACUUUCUUGGGUGAACUGGAGCAACUGUUAUUAAUCUUCAGCGCUCAGGCAAUUUCUCUAAAAGCCCCUAUUUGUUUUUUAUUGCUCCAUUGAGAGAGGAGGGUGUAGCAGCAAGGAGGAAGACUGUAAACAAGGUAUGCAGGGAAAGCAAGUUAUGUCCCCGUCAGCAUUCGGCGUUGGUCUUUCACUCUCUCUCCCUCUCCCAGCUCCCCUCAGAGGAUUAAAAAAGAGGAAGAGGGGAGUUUUCAGAAAGCAAACUGGAGCGUCAGCAUGAAUUCAGCUGGACUGAGAAAUGAUUGUUCAAACAGCACUGCGCUAUCUCACUCGAGCGAAUGUGCGGCGAGGAGGGGAGCUGGUCUUUGUGAACUGUGGAAGCAGACCAAUGCGAAAGUGAUGCGUGAAAUAUGAAUAUAUAUGUGUUGUUGGUUUUGCCGGUCUCUUGAAGUCAGUGAAUUCAUGUGAACAUGUGUGUAGGUGGGUAUAAAUGUAUAUCUGUCAGGCUAGCGGUGUUGAUUGCCAUAUGGGUCAAGUCAAAAUCUUGAUUUCUUCCAGUGGCUUCAAGAACACACGUGUACCGUCUAAAUUGGCUUGAACAGUGAAGGUUCAUUUGUAUUUUCUGCCACUAAUGAUGCAUCAUGUAUAACCAGGUGGUUCAGCAGGUAUGGAAAGAAUGAGGGACGAAAAUUUGAGCAGCAGGAUCUAAAAGAGGCCACAAUACACACAAUGCUUUGUUCACCAUGCUUUGAGGAAUACGUCUCAUUUUUUUCUCCCUACAUCUUCACUGUGUCCACAUCAUCAUAGCAUCCCCCGUUUGAUUUACAGCUCAUUUUCUUGGCCACCUUCAUGCUUGGCGACCAUUGUCCACUGUGAGGGAAAACAGCAAUUAUGAUAUCAUUAGAGCAGAAACCGGUACCUACAAAGCAGAGGACUCAGAGGGGACUAGUAGAAAAAUCUCGGCAGGAAAAAAAGGAUGGCUGGGACUUUGCUGCAGAGUCAGUUGCCCCCCAAUUACCAUGAAACAAGACAAACAGUCAUUAGAGUAGGCCAUUAGGCUGCAGGGAGAGCGGACAGGGGCUUGUUCGUUUUAACAGUAUACGUCAGCUUGUGAAAGUCACACAGAAUGUACAUGGUGUCUGUGAUAAAUGUUAUCCAGUGUAAAAGCAAAUCAGGAUUGUUGAACGAGUGGUUGCUUACAAUAUUACACAUUUUCUGACUAUCAAUUCCGACUUAAAAAUGUAACCUAAUGUGAUUCUAAGAAACCCAUGGAAUUGAAUCAUGUCCCAAUGACAGCACCAUUGAGUCUAAUAGUCAUGCUUUGAUUUGCCCUCUGUGUCUCCGUUAAGUUAAGUAACCUUUUUGUUAUUCACUGUUUGUUUUUAUCUUGAGUUUGUUAUUUCCUGUUUUAUUUUGAAGUCACUUUCCUUUUGUCUCCCCACUUCCUGUUACCCUGUCGCCCAUCUGUCACUUUACAUUUUCUUGUGUUACCCUGUGAUUGUCUGCACCUGUUCCUAACCGUGUCACACCUGUGUCUAAUUAUCUCCGUCCUCCUGCCUAUAAAGUCUUUGUGCGUCCCUUACUUCUCUGUUUGGUUCUGUGACAGCUCUGCGUCGCUCUGUUCCCUUCAUAUCGACGUUCCUGAGUUGUUGUUUUUUUGGAUUACCUGAGUUACCUGCUGUUUGCGCUUAAAGUCUGUCCUGACGUGUGGCAGAUUUUGAAAACUGAUGAUGCGCAGGCUCCUCCAUGUCCCAGGUCAAUGUCACGUCAACCUGGAUGUGUGAACAGUGACACCAGUGAUCCCACUGGGGCUUAUGCAGAAGUGAGAAGGAGCAGGAGGCUGAAAGACUGCCUCUCCGGCGUUCCUGACAUCUUGGCUCCGUUAAUUGCAAUAUUUGCCUGCUGUAUUGGUAUUCAAGUUAGGCCCUGGGAACAGAUGGCGAUUAACUUUAAAUAUUAUUAACACCCCUCCCAGCAUCCUAAGAUCCUGGGUGGUGGUGAUGAGGACGAGCAGACGUGCAGGUGAAAUUACCACUAUUUUCAUUACAGCAUCAAAGGACGUAAUACAAAUUGGGAUGAUUUUCCCAACUGCCGACGUGCGUGCGUGUGUGCGCGCGUGUGAGUCAUCUGCGCAUCAUGUUUUCUGUAUGUGUUUAUACUGUAUCUUCUAUUUUAAUUUCCUGUUUUCCAAUAUUUUACAUUGAAAACAAAAUUAACCACAUACAUAUUGUUACAAAUAGGUAUUGUUUUCAAUCAUACUUGCAAGGAUUGGAAGAGACUGUGUUUUUUAAAACAUUUUAUUUGUUUAGUUUUAAAUUGAUGUGGUAAGGAAAAUAAAUA